rnacentral:rRNA from 1 species
UACGUAGGGUGCGAGCGUUAAUCGGAAUUACUGGGCGUAAAGCGUGCGCAGGCGGUUUUGUAAGCCAGGUGUGAAAUCCCCGGGCUCAACCUGGGAAUGGCAUUUGAUACUCUGGAGCUUGAGUACGGGAGAGGAGAGUGGAAUUCCCAGUGUAGAGGUGAAAUUCGUAGAUAUUGGGAAGAACACCGGUGGCGAAGGCGGCUCUCUGGACCGUAACUGACGCUGAGGCGCGAAAGCGUGGGGAGCAAACAGG